rnacentral:rRNA from 1 species
GACGAACGCUGGCGGCGUGCUUAACACAUGCAAGUCGAACGGUGAAGCGCCUUCCUUUUUGGUGGGUGUGGAUGAGUGGCGAACGGGUGAGUAACACGUGAGUAACCUGCCCCCUUCUUCUGGAUAACCGCAUGAAAGUGUGGCUAAUACUGGAUAUUCUGGGUCUGUCGCAUGAUGGGUCUGGGCAAGAUAUUGUUUCGGUGGGUGAUGGGCUCGCGGCCUAUCAGCUUGUUGGUGGGGUGAUGGCCUACCAAGGCGGUGACGGGUAGCCGGCCUGAGAGGGUGGACGGUCACACUGGGACUGAGACACGGCCCAGACUCCGACGGGAGGCAGCAGUGGGGAAUAUUGCACAAUGGGCGCAAGCCUGAUGCAGCGACGCCGCGGGAGGGAUGGAGGCCUUCGGGUUGUGAACCUCUUUCGCCAGUGAAGCAGGCCUGCCUCGUUUGUGGGUGGGUUGACGGUAGCUGGAUAAGAAGCGCCGGCUAACUACGUG